AUUGAACGCUGGCGGCAUGCCUUACACAUGCAAGUCGAACGGCAGCACGGGGCAACCUGGUGGCGAGUGGCGAACGGGUGAGUAAUGCAUCGGAACGUACCUUUCAGUGGGGGAUAACGUAGCGAAAGUUACGCUAAUACCGCAUAUUCUGUGAGCAGGAAAGCAGGGGAUCGCAAGACCUUGCGCUGAUUGAGCGGCCGAUGUCAGAUUAGCUAGUUGGUGAGGUAAAGGCUCACCAAGGCGACGAUCUGUAGCGGGUCUGAGAGGAUGAUCCGCCACACUGGAACUGAGACACGGUCCAGACUCCUACGGGAGGCAGCAGUGGGGAAUUUUGGACAAUGGGGGCAACCCUGAUCCAGCCAUGCCGCGUGAGUGAAGAAGGCCUUCGGGUUGUAAAGCUCUUUCGGCCGGGAAGAAAUCGCACGGGCUAAUACCCUGUGUGGAUGACGGUACCGGAAUAAGAAGCACCGGCUAGCUACGUGCCAGCAGCAGCCGCGGUAA
rnacentral:rRNA from 1 species